CUCCUGGAAACGGGUGGUAAUGCCGGAUGUUCCACAUGAGCGCAUGCGAGUGUGGGAAAGGCUUUUUGCGGCAUGGGAUGGGGUCGCGUCCUAUCAGCUUGUUGGUGGGGUAACGGCCUACCAAGGCGUUGACGGGUAGCCGGCCUGAGAGGGCGACCGGCCACAUUGGGACUGAGAUACGGCCCAGACUCCUACGGGAGGCAGCAGUGGGGAAUAUUGCACAAUGGGCGCAAGCCUGAUGCAGCGACGCCGCGUGCGGGAUGGAGGCCUUCGGGUUGUAAACCGCUUUUGUUCAAGGGCAAGGCACGGUUUCGGCCGUGUUGAGUGGAUUGUUCGAAUAAGCACCGGCUAACUACGUGCCAGCAGCCGCGGUAAUACGUAGGGUGCAGGCGUUAUCCGGAUUUAUUGGGCGUAAAGGACUCGUAGGCGGUUCGUCGCGUCCGGUGUGAAAGUCCAUCGCUUAACGGUGGAUCCGCGCCGGGUACGGGCGGGCUUGAGUGCGGUAGGGGAGACUGGAAUUCCCGGUGUAACGGUGGAAUGUGUAGAUAUCGGGAAGAACACC
rnacentral:rRNA from 1 species